rnacentral:sRNA from 1 species
CCUCCCUUCAUUACCCCCACUCCCUACCCUUCUCCCAACUUUUUGAUGUCCCUGUAGGGCUGGCCAGUCAGGCCCAGCCAAAGCCCCCUCCUCAGUCUCCACAGACCCACAUGUGAGCAGCCCAGGCCCAUCGGUGCUCCUCAGAGGUAGGGCUCUGCAGGUCCAUAUGGGCUCAAUGUCACCACCCUCUGCAUGGCCCUGUGUGCUGGAUGGUCCUGAAACCAGACAAGACCUCUGCCAGCCACCUAAGCCCUGCGUACAUUCACAUGCACACGUGGAAGAAUGUUUAUCGGCUGGGCUGCAGUGCCCCCACCCUCACCUUCUCCUGGUGCAUUCCUGUUUCAUCCCUGCUUCUGGACUUGGGGUACCCUCCCAAUUGCCACAUCCUAUCUGGUCCUCUUCCCCAGCCCCAUGUGGUGACCUCUUUGUCAAGAGCUUGGGAACGGGCCAGCCUGGGGAGCUAUGACUAGUCUGCUUCAUCUAGAUGGGCCCACCCCUGAUCACCAGGGGACAGGCUCCUGAGCCUAUACAGAAGGUGAUAUCUGCCUCCAGGAUUGGCUCUGCUCCCCAAUACAACUAUUUGCAGAGGAAAUUGGGAUCCUCCGCUUCCAUCCUGACUCCUGGCAGGCACACAGGCCUCUUUAGUAAGGUUCACACUAUUCAUUGAUCAUGGUGUUAGGGCAUGACAAGAAAAUGACAACAGUUCAAGAAUU